GAUGAACGCUAGCGGGAGGCCUAACACAUGCAAGCCGAGCGGUAUGGAUAGCUUGCUAUCCGGAGAGCGGCGUACGGGUGCGUAACACGUGUGCAACCUACCUUUAUCUGGGGGAUAGCCUUUCGAAAGGAAGAUUAAUACCCCAUAAUAUAAUGAUUGCCAUCAAUUAUUAUUGAAAAUUCCGGUGGCUAGAGAUGGGCACGCGCAAGAUUAGAUAGUUGGUGAGGUAACGGCUCACCAAGUCAAUGAUCUUUAGGGGUCCUGAGAGGGAGAUCCCCCACACUGGUACAGAGACACGGACCAGACUCCUACGGGAGGCAGCAGUGAGGAAUAGUAGGCAGUGGGUGAGAGCCUGAUCCAGCCAGCCCGCGUGAAGGAUGACGGUCCUAUGGAUUGUAAACUUCUUUUGUACAGGGAUAAACCUACCCUCGGGAGGGUAGCUGAAGGUACUGUACGAAUAAGCACCGGCUAACUCCGUG
rnacentral:rRNA from 1 species